AUCUAAAUAGUUUAACUUUAGAAUGAUAAUUUGUGGUGUUAUAGGUGUAAAAUAACUUUAGAUU
rnacentral:tRNA from 1 species